rnacentral:rRNA from 1 species
AUCGUAAACUUCUGUUAUAAGAGAAGAAAUACUAGAAUAGGAAAUGAUUCUAAUUUGACGUUAUCUUACUAGAAAGUCACGGCAAACUAUGUGCCAGCAGCCGCGGUAAUACAUAGGUGGCAAGCGUUAUCCGGAUUUAUUGGGCGUAAAGAGUGCACAGGCGGUUUAUUAAGUCAGUUGUGAAAGGUUGAGGCUCAACCUCAACAGGCAAUUGAAACUAAUAAACUAGAAUACAGGUGGGGGUAGUGGAAUUUCAUGUGUAGCGGUGGAAUGCAUAAAUAUAUGAAGGAACACCAGUGGCGAAGGCGGCUACCUGAACUGAUAUUGACGCUUAAGUACGAAAGCGUGGGGAGCAAAUAGGAUUAGAUACCCUAGUAGUCCACGCCGUAAACGAUCUAGACUAGUUGUUGCAAUUUGCAGUAACGCAGCUAACGCAUUAAGUCUAGCGCCUGGGUAGUAUGCACGCAAGUGUGAAACUCAAAGGAAUUGACGGGGACCCGCACAAGUGGUGGAGCAUGUGGUUUAAUUCGACGAUACGCGAAGAACCUUACCUACGCUUGACAUACUUGGCAAUGCCAUAGAGAUAUGGUUUGAGGUUAACCAAUGUACAGGUGGUGCAUGGUUGUCGUCAGCUCGUGUCGUGAGAUGUUCGGUUAAGUCCGGUAACGAGCGCAACCCCUUUCUUAUGUUACUAACAUUUAGUUGAGGACUCAUGAGAUACUGCCUGGGCAACCAGGAG